AAAAAUUCCAUUGGUGUAAAGUAGUGGUCAUGGCAUGGUUUUAGGCAUGUCUAUGCAACUUGACUUGUCUUGGCCAAUACAAAGUUUGAGAGGUUUAGGGGUUAAAUUAGGGUUUGAUCCUUGAAACAAAGUUGUAGAGGCUUCCAUGUGUGACAUUUGGCUCAACGUAGAUCUUCAAAAGGUUGAUAAAUGAGAAAGUUG
rnacentral:lncRNA from 1 species